AGCAUGCAUCUUGUCUCUGACUUUAUUAUAUAACGCCAUGUCAUAGAAGUUUAAAGACACAGUUGAUCUUUCACUUCGUGAGACCUGUCUAGGAGAAAGGCUUUUCUUUGUCUUUGACCCAUUUUGCAAGGUUGUUCCAGACAUGUUUUACAAUUUCACACUCAAAGAACAUGUGCAUUAAGCCAGAAGCCAGUCUACAUGACACUGUGACGGCCGGAAGCCAGCCUACAUGACACUGUUACGGCUAGAAGCCAGUCUAUAUGACACUGUGACGGCCGGAAGCCAGUCUAUAUGACACUGUGACGGCCGGAAGCCAGCCUACAUGACACUGUGACGGCCGGAAGCCAGCCUACAAGACACUGUGACGGCCGGAAGCCAGUCUACAUGACACUGUGACGGCCGGAAGCCAGUCUACAUGACACUGUGACGGCCGGAAGCCAGUCUACAUGACACUGUGACGGCCGGAAGCCAGCCUAUACCAUACCAAACAAUGAACAAAUCUUAACACGAAUGCAUGUGUUAGCUUAAAUUUUUAUUAAAAAUUAUUAAAAUUGAACUUAAUAAAGUUUUAAAGUUAUUAUUUAAAUCAUGUGAUAAACAUUACUGUCAUACACAUUUAUAAACAGUAGGAUUUGACCUUGCACAUGGUGUAUGACAUGAAGUAGCAAAGAUGUUUUACAGGCUUGUGAUUUCCUGUAUGAAUGUAGGCUUCAUCUCUCACCAGUCACGGGGAACUCGGUGUCAUAGCACUGAAGCUUCUGGCUGACUGGUUUGGUUUUGUAAUUUCAUUUGCAAGAGUAUGUCUGUGGGUAGCCCUUCAGUCAAAAAAUACAAAGUUGAAAAAAAGGACAAAAGUAUGCAAUAUUAACAGUCAAAUGUUAGGAAAAGACGUCAUGAGAAAAGAAAGAACAAUGUGUAUGAAAGAACGUCAGUGAGCACAAAAGGACAUUUACAAUAAAGAACGUCAGUGAGCACCAAAGGACGUUUACAAUAAAGAACGCCAGAUGGCGCUGCAAUUUGUAAAACAUUCUGAGUAUAAUCGGCUAGUUCUGCCGUGUAUAUGACAACUGCAUGACGAGGUUGAAAAUGUAUUACUUCAUUCCUUAUGCACUCACUGUCUGUAUGUAUAAUGUAUACAUUGUGUGUAUAUACAUAUUGCAUUUAAGCAUCUUCACCGGUCAAGGGCCGUUUCAUAAAUAUAGUAUACUGUGUAAUCUGACAUCUACCUCUUUGUACAUGUAUUUUGUAAACAACCUUCAAUAAACACUCAUUGAAUGUAACCUUUUCUAAAUACUGGCAUUCCAACAGUCACAUAUGUGUUGAACAUGCUACUUCAAGCUUAAAUAUU